rnacentral:rRNA from 1 species
AGCUCCAAUAGCGUAUAUUAAAGUUGUUGCGGUUAAAAAGCUCGUAGUUGGAUUUCUGGAAAGGACGACCGGUCCAUCCACUGGAUGAGCACAUGGUUCGGCUUGGCCAUUUUCUUGGAAAACGCUGCUGCCCUUCAUUGGGUGGGGUGGUAUCCAAGACUUUUACUUUGAGGAAAUUAGAGUGUUUCAAGCAGGCGGACGCCCUGAACAUACUAGCAUGGAAUAAUAAGAUAGGGCUACAUUUGCAUCUUGUUGGUUCUUGUGAGUGUAGCAAUGAUUAAUAGGGAUAGUCGGGGACAUUAGUAUUUAACUGUCAGAGGUGAAAUUCUUGGAUUUGUUAAAGACUGACUACUGCGAAAGCAUUUGUCAAGGAUGUUUUCA